AAGCAGUGGCUGGUGUCAUAGGGCCAGCAGAUGAUGAAGCAGUGGCAGGUGUCAUUGGGCCAGCAGAUGAUGAAGCAGUGGCAGGUGUCAUAGGGCCAGCAGAUGAUGAAGCAGUGGCAGGUGUCAUAGGGCCAGCAGAUGAUGAAGCAGUGGCAGGUGUCAUAGGGCCAGCAGAUGAUGAAGCAGUGGCUGGUGUCAUAGGGCCAGCAGAUGAUGAAGCAGUGGCAGGUGUCAUAGGGCCAGCAGAUGAUGAAGCAGUGGCAGGUGUCAUAGGGCCAGCAGAUGAUGAAGCAGUGGCAGGUGUCAUAGGGCCAGCAGAUGAUGAAGCAGUGGCAGGUGUCAUAGGGCCAGCAGAUGAUGAAGCAGUGGCAGGUGUCAUAGGGCCAGCAGAUGAUGAAGCAGUGGCAGGUGUCAUAGGGCCAGCAGAUGAUGAAGCAGUGGCAGGUGUCAUUGGGCCAGCAGAUGAUGAAGCAGUGGCAGGUGUCAUAGGGCCAGCAGAUGAUGAAGCAGUGGCUGGUGUCAUUGGGCCAGCAGAUGAUGAAGCAGUGGCUGGUGUCAUUGGGCCAGCAGAUGAUGAAGCAGUGGCAGGUGUCAUAGGGCCAGCAGAUGAUGAAGCAGUGGCUGGUGUCAUUGGGCCAGCAGAUGAUGAAGCAGUGGCUGGUGUCAUAGGGCCAGCAGAUACUGAAGCAGUGGCUGUUGCCGGAGCAGCUGAUGGUAUCUUUUCCACAAGUAAUGAACAAUGUGCUGGGAUGGUCUCUAGCAAUACUGAUAAAGCGUGUAUCUACAAAGAAUAUGAAUUUAAGGGUAAUUAAUAAAUUGUUUUAAUAAGAAUAUAAAAGUUUUUGCCAAAAACAUACAGGCCAGUCAAUAUUUCACUGCUGCUUGACUGUUGCUGCUGUCCUAUCCCUAGCACAUCAUGUCAAUGCUGAAUGGCUCUGGUACCCCUUCAAAUACAUGAGACGAGCAGCCUAUGAUGUCAUACACCAGUUUAUUUGCCACAGUUAAUGUCAUAGUUAUAUAGGCAGGCGCCUGCGUAUCUGUGGUGCCACACGUGUGGGGCACUCAGGUGCUGGGGGAAAUGUCAUUGUUAUGAAGGGGCAGGGGUAAACCAGUGUAUGCUGUGAGGCCUUAGUGUGGAAGUUCCCUGUUUGAACUGUGCAGCUAAUCCC